rnacentral:lncRNA from 1 species
CAUAUUAGUCAUUUUUAAGUGUGUUCAGUGAAGAUAUAGUUCACUUGACCUUAAGCUAAAUCUUUUAAAUUCAAAGCCUUCUUUAAACUGCAGUGGGGAUGAUAGCCUUGAUAAGUCUUUUCCAGAUGCAUAAUGUAAUGAGACUAACUGCUUUGGUGGAUUCUUGGUAGACUGUAGAACAAGUGGACGGAAACCUAACAGAGGUUGAGAAACUGUCUGAGGCCCUGCAGACAAGCUGUACUCCAGAGGGUCAGACUGCUCUCUCUCCAGAAGCUCAACCGAUAUUUGGAAAGACACCAGCCCUGAGGAAGAUCUUGGAAGACGAGAGGACUAAAGAAGGGAACUCUGAUCUAGAUCAAUGUUCCAUUCAGUGCAUCGAGCCUCAGCAGCCUGGAGUGUCCACAGAGGAGCUCCAGUCAAUUCAGGUUGCUGGUGACAGUGAAGUGGAUGACAUGGAUCAUAUGAAUGUAAAAUUCUUGACCACAAAGGAAGUUAGUGAAACAGAAGAUCUAUCACCUUGCUCAGAAACAACAAGCAACCGAAGAUCUUGGGAACCUUCCAUUAGGCCACG